rnacentral:ribozyme from 1 species
GUGAAAGAGGAAAGAAGACAGACAGAAGACAGACAGAAGAAAAGUGAACGCCGACGAGCGAUUUUUUCCUUUCUUUUUUUUUUUUUA